AGAGUUUGAUUCUGGCUCAGGAUGAACGCUGGCGGUAUGCUUAACACAUGCAAGUCGAACGGUCUCUUCGGAGAUAGUGGCGGACGGGUGAGUAACGCGUGAGAAUCUGCCUUCAGGUCUGGGACAACCAUUGGAAACGGUGGCUAAUACCGGAUGAGCAGAGAUGUGAAAGAUUAAUUGCCUGAAGAGGAGCUCGCGUCUGAUUAGCUAGUUGGUGGGGUAAGAGCUUACCAAGGCGACGAUCAGUAGCUGGUCUGAGAGGACGAUCAGCCACACUGGGACUGAGACACGGCCCAGACUCCUACGGGAGGCAGCAGUGGGGAAUUUUCCGCAAUGGGCGAAAGCCUGACGGAGCAAUACCGCGUGAGGGAGGAAGGCUCUUGGGUCGUAAACCUCUUUUCUCAGGGAAGAAAAAAAUGACGGUACCUGAGGAAUAAGCAUCGGCUAACUCCGUGCCAGCAGCCGCGGUAAUACGGAGGAUGCAAGCGUUAUCCGGAAUGAUUGGGCGUAAAGCGUCCGCAGGUGGCUAUGUAAGUCUGCUGUUAAAGAGCAAGGCUCAACCUUGUAAAAGCGGUGGAAACUACAUAGCUAGAGUGCGUUCGGGGCAGAGGGAAUUCCUGGUGUAGCGGUGAAAUGCGUAGAGAUCAGAAGAACACCGGUGGCGAAAGCGCUCUGCUAGGCCGCAACUGACACUGAGGGACGAAAGCUAGGGAGCGAAU
rnacentral:rRNA from 1 species